CACCGAGCUUCCAGUGACACCGGUGAGGGUGGUUAAAAUGUGUCAGAAAUAGCUGUAAGUGUGGCUGCACCAAACACAGUUACAAUGGACUCUACACGUCCAUACAGUCGAGAGGUGGAGUGCUGAUAAGGUGGGCAGAGUUUCACGUGUUCACUUCGGCAACUGACCAGCCUUUGGGAUCCAGAGCUGCCAGAAUCCAGCUUGAUGGAAUCCAUAAAGAGAAGAGAGUGCUGCCAGUGAAUGGGAAAUGGGUCAAGCAAAGCUAACAUUGAUAAAGCGCUCCCAGUUUAAGCUGGGUCUUUUGCAUUCCCCAAAGUGUUCUGCAAUAAUAAUGUUUUUUAUGUAAUGAAUUAGAUUAACAAAAUUUGAAAUAAAAUAGAAAAUGCUG